ACGAUGAUGCCCAGCUUGCUGGGUGGAUUAGUGGCGAACGGGUGAGUAACACGUGAGUAACCUGCCCCUGACUCUGGGAUAAGCGUUGGAAACGACGUCUAAUACUGGAUAUGACUGCCGGCCGCAUGGUCUGGUGGUGGAAAGAUUUUUUGGUUGGGGAUGGACUCGCGGCCUAUCAGCUUGUUGGUGAGGUAAUGGCUCACCAAGGCGACGACGGGUAGCCGGCCUGAGAGGGUGACCGGCCACACUGGGACUGAGACACGGCCCAGACUCCUACGGGAGGCAGCAGUGGGGAAUAUUGCACAAUGGGCGAAAGCCUGAUGCAGCAACGCCGCGUGAGGGAUGACGGCCUUCGGGUUGUAAACCUCUUUUAGUAGGGAAGAAGCGUAAGUGACGGUACCUGCAGAAAAAGCACCGGCUAACUACGUGCCAGCAGCCGCGGUAAUACGUAGGGUGCAAGCGUUGUCCGGAAUUAUUGGGCGUAAAGAGCUCGUAGGCGGUUUGUCGCGUCUGCUGUGAAAUCCCGAGGCUCAACCUCGGGCUUGCAGUGGGUACGGGCAGACUAGAGUGCGGUAGGGGAGAUUGGAAUUCCUGGUGUAGCGGUGGAAUGCGCAGAUAUCAGGAGGAACACCGAUGGCGAAGGCAGAUCUCUGGGCCGUAACUGACGCUGAGGAGCGAAAGCGUGGGGAGCGAACAGGAUUAGAUACCCUGGUAGUCCACGCCGUAAACGUUGGGCGCUAGAUGUAGGGACCUUUCCACGGUUUCUGUGUCGUAGCUAACGCAUUAAGCGCCCCGCCUGGGGAGUACGGCCGCAAGGCUAAAACUCAAAGGAAUUGACGGGGGCCCGCACAAGCGGCGGAGCAUGCGGAUUAAUUCGAUGCAACGCGAAGAACCUUACCAAGGCUUGACAUACACCGGAAACGGCCAGAGAUGGUUGCCCCCUUGUGGUCGGUGUACAGGUGGUGCAUGGUUGUCGUCAGCUCGUGUCGUGAGAUGUUGGGUUAAGUCCCGCAACGAGCGCAACCCUCGUUCUAUGUUGCCAGCGCGUUAUGGCGGGGACUCAUAGGAGACUGCCGGGGUCAACUCGGAGGAAGGUGGGGAUGACGUCAAAUCAUCAUGCCCCUUAUGUCUUGGGCUUCACGCAUGCUACAAUGGCCGGUACAAAGGGCUGCGAUACCGUAAGGUGGAGCGAAUCCCAAAAAGCCGGUCUCAGUUCGGAUUGAGGUCUGCAACUCGACCUCAUGAAGUCGGAGUCGCUAGUAAUCGCAGAUCAGCAACGCUGCGGUGAAUACGUUCCCGGGCCUUGUACACACCGCCCGUCAAGUCAUGAAAGUCGGUAACACCCGAAGCCGGUGGCCUAACCCUGU
rnacentral:rRNA from 1 species